rnacentral:rRNA from 1 species
AACGAACGCUGGCGGCAUGCCUAACACAUGCAAGUCGAACGAGACCUUCGGGUCUAGUGGCGCACGGGUGCGUAACGCGUGGGAACCUGCCCUUAGGUUCGGAAUAACUCCCCGAAAGGGGUGCUAAUACCGGAUAAUGUCUUCGGACCAAAGAUUUAUCGCCUUUGGAUGGGCCCGCGUUGGAUUAGCUAGUUGGUAGGGUAAAAGCCUACCAAGGCGACGAUGCAUAGCUGGUCUGAGAGGAUGAUCAGCCACACUGGAACUGAGACACGGCCCAGACUGCGACGGGAGGGAGCAGUGGGGAAUAUUGGACGAGGGGCGAAAGCCUGAUACAGCAAUGUCGCGUGAGUGAUGAAGGCCUUAGUGUUGUAAAGCUCUUUUACCCGGGAUGAUAAUGACGGUACCGGGAGAAUAAGCUCCGGCUAACUCCGUG